ACAUUAGGUAAUGUUUGCUAAAAAUUAGCACUAGCACCAACCCAGACUAGCAUUCAGUUCCAUUAAUAGAAAGGGAGUAAAAUUGAAAUGCUGCAUUCAAAAUAUAGCUACAUUUUAAGACGUAUAAACAGAAAUUAAGUAUAACUUUGACAAUGGUUGUUUUGAAUAUGAAUUUACAUGUUGUGACUUUUUCAUUUAGGAAAUAAUCUUGUUCCCUGUCUUAGCAAAAAUGUAUUGAGGAAAUCGAUACUGCUCUAAUGUUUGUACAGUAUGUUUUGACAAGCAAGAGACAGUUAGCUUAGUUUAGCAUAGAAACAACCGUUUCUGCUCUGAACUAAUACUUCUUGGACAUUUAAGCUGUUUGCCACAAAAUUAUUACAAAACAUAUUGCGAUACAAAAACAGGCAGACUGUGAGCUUUACAAAUGCCAGUGUAGAUGCAGCUUCAUAUUUAGCAAACACAUAAGAAGGGUUGUAUCAAUCCUUUCACCUUCACUUACUUUCAGACAUGAAAGUAUUGUCAGCUAGUUGUCAUGAAUUUGUCAAUUAAAGUUCAUACUGCAAGUGUUGGUCUUCUAAAAGUAGUAACUCAUGAAAGAAUAGCAAAAAUUAGAAUAGUCUAAAAUCACUGUAAAGCUGUCCCAGUUCAUACGGCGAAGGUCAAACUGCAGUGAGCACAGCUUAUCUUUCAGCUUCAACAUGGAUUUUUUUUUUUUUUUUUUUCCUGUGGCGCAGAUUUGGAUCACAAGUGUCUGCUGUUUUUGGACUGGCAUGAAAAAAAACUAAUCAAAACAGGGAUAGGGAAAUAUCCACAGACAGUAUUACCUUUUAUCUUUUUCUGUGUGAGCAUGUGCAGAGCCUCAGGCUUAGACCUCCCAGCUGUUCCUCUUUCAAGGUGACUAGACUUUUACAGUCAAACAAAUCCCGCUUAGUAACUUUCACACAUCUUCAGACAGCUUAUUUUGACUAGGAAACACAUUUACUGUGUAUAUCUUGAUCGGAACAUUGUUUGUCAUGUGUUCAGCUGCAGAAAGUGUAAAAAGUAACACAAUGAAACAAACAAUAAAAGAACUUGGAUGAAGAAAAAGUGAAGUGGAAGCAAGUUCAGCUCUUCUUUUGAGGUUUAUUUGCCGCACUCUGUUUUGCCAUGCAAGCACUUUUAUUGGCUCGUAUGCAGGUGCUACAUCCCGGCACAAAGCCUCAAACCUCAGCGGUGGAUUGUGCAAACUGAGCAGCCAGUAUACUCUGUGCAAACAUUACCGUUUCUCCUGUGUUCUGCCAGCGAUUCUGUUGUGAGGGUUGUAAAUUAUUCAAGCUCAAAACCGAUUACAUCUGUGGCUCGUGCUCUGCAGUUAUGUGGAUAAGUAGGUAAAGCCUUUACUGUUGUUAAAUGCAAGUUAAAGCUGGAUGGAGGGUCUUUAGACAGUAUUAUUGCAGUCCAAAUUUAGAAGAAAGCUCUGCACUGUCAGUCAAACAGCAGACACUAAUCAGACCAUGAACCUAAAUCACACAAUGCGAUGCUUAAUUGCGCUUAAAUUAUUUAAGCGUCUCUGUGAUGUAUUGGAGGCGGGUCCGUGUCCAAGAUCUCUGUGGCAUCGCCGUUUGAUGGUAAAUCCCCCAGGCGUGUCUCUUGUCUUGCACUUGGUGCGCUGCAGCUUGGGAAGGUAUUUGGGAGCUUGUAACAGUGUGUUGUGGUGGAGCUACAGACAGGCAACUGAGCAGGGAUCGUGUUUUAUCAAUGCCGGCAAGCCGACCGCAGAGAUUUGCUUUGGCGGCCAAGAGACUGAAGUGACGCACAGGCAGACGAGAGUGCAACAUGAGCCACUGGUCGGUCUGGUUUCCACCUGUCUCUCUCCCUGUCUGUCUCACUGUAUCUGUCUUCCUCUACCUGUCCACCACACACAAACACAAAGUCCACUAGCUGUGGCUUUAACCUAUUGAUCAAUAAUUAGAAGAUGAUGAUCUGAAUAAUGUAUAUGGGUCAAUAUAUAACUGAGAGACUUUUGAAGUUCAUGGGAUUGUUAAGAUCCGACCUCUCGGGUUGGUUGGAUGCAACAAAAAUAACCAGAUGUUAAUGGUUCAGGUAAAGGGAUUUUAUUUUUUAGUGGCAAAUCGAACAAAAAAGUGAUCAUAUGAAGAACUCAGGACUGGUGGAUGUUGCUAAAUCAAAGAACAGAAUAUAACAAAACGAAGGUGAAGAGUUUAUAAAUCGAGCUAACACAAACAAAACAACUAAACUGCCUAGCUAAACUUGACCCUCGUGUCGUCCUGCGGGUCAAAACUGACCCGUUUUAAAGUUUGAAAAUGUGGAAGAAAAAAAAAUAUUUUCACAGUGAACACUUCCACAUUUUCAACAUUUUUGGGAAAUUUUUUAAAUGUUUUUUGGUGGGAAAAAAAAGAAAUGUUAAAAAAUGUUUCUUUAAGAACAUUCAGAAAAAAAAUCAACCAUUGAUUUUUUUUUCUGAAUGCUCUUUGAAUUGGAUUUGGAUUGGAUUUCUUGGAAGAUUUUUAUUAAUUUUUAGAAAAUAUUUACAACUUGAAUUUUUGUAAAUUUUUUUAAUUUUUAAUUUUUUGAUAAAUUUGGGAUUUUUUUUUUAAAAAAAAAUUAAGGAAAACUUUUCAGGAAUUAUUGGAAUUUUCUUCCUGAAGGUUUUGCAAAUUUUUAUAAAUUUGGGGAUUUUUUUUUGCUGAAUUUUUGGAUUUUUUUCAGACAAGGGAGCAAUAUUUUUUGGUGCCCAUAAAUGAAGACAACAGGAGUGUUAAGUACAGUAGCAACACCCACCACAACAAAAACUAAUACAAAGAGUGCACAAAAACAAACGAAACAAAACUGGUGCCUCUGAAUGCACACACUGAACACACAGUUCAUGAAUACUCAAUACUGAACAGCUUCUUCACACAGUUGAUGGACUGCUAACUGGACCUUCAGGCUCCACUGAGACUUGGGACUCCAUACAAAAUUAGCAGCCGCCAACAGAAGCUCAAAUUUGUCUGUAGCACCCACUACAAGUACAUACAGAUCAGAGGACCACACAGGACAACAAGACAGAGGCACCAGGGUGGACUGGUCACAAAUACCAGCCAGCUAGUUUGGCUGUAGUUAUAUACUCUGCAGGUGUGGUGAUGGCUGUGCCCGGUUGGCUGGAGGUGGAAGGGAACUGGAUGGUGGCCCAAUCAGGAAGGUUGGGAGGCGGGGAGAACAAGGCUGCAGUGCAGGUCGUCCACUAGGAGACAUCAGUGGAGAUGGCUGGCAGCUGGGGUUCCAGAGAGGCUCUGAAAGCAGCCACAGCUGGGCCUACACAUGUCAUCAAACCACACAAAGGCCCAAAAGCAAUCCACCCCCAGAAAUAAGACGGCACACAAACACCUGUAGCCGUAACAGGAAUAUAUCUUGUGUACUUUUUUAUUAAAAGUUAAAAAAUAAAAGUUUUUUUAUGUUCAUUAUGAUCAUGCCUUUAUAAAUUCCAUAAUUAUUUAUUAUAGAAACAAUCACUUAUUUACAAAAAAUGACUGGAUAUCACUAAAAUGUCAACUAAAUAACCGAAUUUAAAAACAACCACCUUCUAAUUAGCGAAACAAUAAUAAAAUGAGAUUCUUCAAAAUUAGUUUUGAUUGUGUUCUUUUUAUUAAAUUGAGAUAAUCAUGAUGGAUAUUUCUUUUUUGGCAAUAUAUCAAAUUUUAUAUGGAAAAUAACAAAUUGUAUCUGUGUCUGAGAAAUUGCUUUCAACUAAGUUACUCAUUACAAAAACACCUCUGAAGGAAGUGUGUUAAUUCCAGAUCACAUGACCUGCUCCACAUGAUGUCAUUUCCUCCUGAAGAAAAGACUGGCAAGACUCCAAGGCUUUCUGAGUUAUUUAAUAUAAAGUAGUGUGUGAGUCAAGUGUGGAUUUAUGGCAUGUCAACAGGUUUACUACAAUAUCUUUAGAAAUAACUUUCAAUUUCAAAUUUACUCAAUUGUAUAUAUAAUAUUUAGAAGAAUCUUUGUGUAAAAAUGCCAUGUGGUGUUUGGUUAUAGGCAGCCAUGUUGAUUUUAGGCCUGAAAACAGCAAAAAUAUGAUACCUGUCUACUAUGUUAUAAAAGUCCCACAGUUAUAUAUUGACCCAUAUAAGAAAUACUGCCUCUGCUCCUUCUUCCUUAAGGGGGAUUCAUCUAUUAUAAGUGUGUACGUGGUUCUUUCAACUCAUGAACUCAGGAUUGCGACAUGGGAAGUCAUGUACACUGCAUCUAGGGAAUGGCUCAUUUUAUUUAUUUAACACGCUGUGGGGCAUUUUCUGACUACCACAUUCACUCGACUUCAGUCCACUUGUAGCUUUAUUGUACGCUCACUCAGAGAACACAAAAAGCAGAGCUGGUCUCGAGGGCAACGGAGGCGUAGAAGUCUUGUGUUUUCACAAAUACAGUUCCUAAUCUGCCCAUCAUGCAUCCCAGAAUCUCCCUUAUCAGUCUGAGGGAAGCAAGCUACUGCAUCUGACUCUCUUAUCCUGUCAGCCUUUGUGUGGUUGCCUACAAUCCUACAAUACUAUGUUUGUUCAUGUCCCUUUUUCUUUUUGGCAAGUCAGCUUGUGACCAUGUGAAAAUUCAGGCUUCUGUGCAUUUCCCAUUGCAAUCUUCUGAUAUGUCUUAUCAUUACCCCUUAGCAUUUGUGAAUAUAUAUUUCUACAAGCAUAUUAAACAUAUGUAAAAUAGGAUUUAAAUGGUUGUACUCAGUUCUGCUCUCCCAAACAAGCGGCAAUGUAGGAAAUGCAAAAUGACAAGAUGAGGACUCUGGAAAUCAAUGUUUUCCUCAGAAAUGAUCAAAUUAAAAAGAAAACAUCUAUAAGACUAAAACUGCAAUAUUUUAACUCACCAUGCACUGAUAAUUAAACUUCUGUGGCCUCCACCAUUCCUGAAAACACCAGCAAACGCCUCACAGCUGGUAAAGUCGCAGCUUCCACUUACUAGGUUGUGAUUAGCACCAGAGGGGGGCGUUCAUGUGGACUCAGCAAACACGACCCCAUUUAAAGGCACCACAACCACUCUGAAUUUAAUGGAGGUGUUUCAGGCAAAGAGAGCUUCCUCGACUGUAAAAUGCUGUGCAGAACUGCAGAACUUCUCAGCCGUCCUGGACAAUUAACUCAUUUUGGACAGAUUUUGAACAGUUAAGGAAGAUUUGUUUUUAGCAAGUUCUGGACAAAUUUGAGUAAUAUUUAGUCAUUUUGCACAUAUUUUGGGUCAUUUUUGACAAAUUUUAACAACCUUUUGAGAACACGCUUAUUUUCUGAGGUCAAAUUUGAGUCAUUUUGGACUUGUUUUUAUUGUUUUCAGUCAUUUUUGGAACCCAGCUAAGCCUUCCUAGAUGUUUAACUCAUUUUGGACUGAUUGCGAACAGUAGAAGAGGAUUGUUUGAGCAACUUCUGGACAAAUAAAUUUGGACAAAUGUGGUGAUUUGUUAAAGAUUUCUGGAUCGUUGCGAGAUAGUAAUGUUGCUGACAGACAAGUGUACGCCGAUCGUCACAUAACCGGUUGUUCCAAAAGAAGAAGAAGUAAAGGAGAGCGAAUACGGUGGAUCUGUAAGACCAUCUGUUUGUGUUGAGGAUCCCAAAGGAAUCUCCCCGUCACGGAGGAAAACCAACAAGUACAAGACUCUUUAACUUACUCUCUCUCCCUUCCAGUGUACCGCCGAUUACUGAGCAAAAACAAAGAGAGCGUUUGUCCCGAAAUUGGUGCUUCGAAAAACAAGUAUGAGGGAGGCUAACACUGAAAGUCGUCCAGUUUAACUUUGUAUGCCCUUUUCUAAGUUCUCCUCCCCUGUGACUUUUACCGACGCUCCCUUUCUUGUGUUUGUCGUUUCGUUUACAGUCCCUCCAUUUUGAUUGCUUCCAUCCAUUAUGCAGUGGAACCUUUUUGCCAUUUUUGCCCUAGAUAUCAUUUGUACAGUGGUGUUUCUAUUGAUUCUUCAACUGGUGCUUGUGUCUCCGUAUGAAUGACCAUCGGUUUCUUUUAUGUGUCAGACUUGUCCUGUUUUGGAUAAACGUGAACUCUUUUUUACCUUCUAUAUUGUAGCAAGAAGAGGAUUUUGUAUUCUGUAGGUUUAGCAAUAACACACAUUCUUCAGUUUUUAACCACUAAAUUCACGAUCCAACGCACACAAACACAGUUUAUGUGCAAACGUAAGUCAUUGGAAAGCAAACCGGGUCUUAUGCACUGUACGGCAGCUUCUCCGUCCAAAUCGGUGCCAUUUAAAGAGAUUAUUGAUUUACAGGCGGCAUGUACAGUUAAUGUGCAAUAACUGCGAUUAACAGAAGACUUUAUAAGCUACUCCCAACUGAAAUUUAUCGAGAAAAUAUAUGCUACAAAGAGGUUCGGUGUCCUGUUCCCGACAGAUUAACAGAAUGUCAUCCGUUUUCAUUUCAACAGAGCGGGAAUUAAAUUUUAAAAACAGAUGCUAGAAUUAUCUUUAUUUUUUAGAACCUGUGUAUUUUAUAGUUUAUGAGAUCAGAGAUUUAACAUAAAGUUUUAUUGUUCCUCAGAUUAUUAUUUCAGAUGUUUUUAUUGUAUAAGGCUGAGCACGUAGGUUAUGUGGAUCUAUUCCUUGCGUUUUUGUUUGGACAAUCAUUGUGAGAAGUGUUGAGACUGAGUGGAAUGUUUUUUUUCCUCUGUAUCUGUAAGAGAAAUCAGCUUUUCUCUCCCAUCCAAGAGAUGAAGUUGUAAUCCACCAGGACUGUGUUUACUUUUGUCUCCAUCUCUGGUGCUAAGUCCUCCUUGUUGUGUCUUUCUUUUUUCUGUUUUUACUCUGCAUUUCCCUGAGUUCACUUAUUUGUCAUCUUUCGCAUCUCUUGUGUUUAUUGUUGAUAUUAUUUUUUUGUCAUUUUCUGUAGGUAGGUGACGUUCUUUUCUUUUUGUUCGUGCAACCAUACAGGCUUCACCACUGAAACUUUUCUUUUUCAGUUUAACCAGAACAUAAAACACAUCACUUAAAUUUAAAUGAAUACCAGAGGGGUUUCUUUUCCCCCAUGAGAGACCAAGUACACUCUGUAUGCUAAUAACAGCUAGUAUAAGAGCUGCUGAUGUUAAAAAAGUUGCAUUUUUAUUGGAAAUGGUGCAGAUAAUGUCUUUAGAAUGGCUUUGGGGAUUCAUUGAUAGUAAACGAUGAUUUCAUUUCAAACUUAUCUGGUUUACACUAUAUCUACUUGCACAAUUUCAACUCCAGAAGAGCAAAAGUCUUCUCCAUUUCCCAAAAAAUCCUGUUAGCAUCAAGGUCUACUUUGCAUUAAGUGGCUGUAAUGCUCAGAUUUUAUGUAAUAUUCAGACAUUUUUAGUCUCUUGCUCACUCUUCAAACAGUACAUCUCAAUAUGACAGAACCCUUUUUGUAUCUUUAAAUUACAGGUACUCUUUCUUAAUUGACUUGCAUUUUUGAAGCUGAUGGUCCUGCACUUACCGUAAAGAUUAAAAAAAAGGACAACAAACUGUUGAUAUGCAAUUGUUAUACAUACUAUAUUUGUAUAAAUAAAUCUAUGUG
ensembl:lncRNA